rnacentral:rRNA from 1 species
AGAGUUUGAUCAUGGCUCAGAUUGAACGCUGGCGGCACGCCUAACACAUGCAAGUCGAGCGGUAACAUGGAUAGUAGCAAUACUAUUUGAUGACGAGCGGCGGACGGGUGAGGAACACGUAGGAACCUGCCCUCAAGCGGGGGACAACCAAGGGAAACUUUGGCUAAUACCGCAUAAACUCGAGAGAGUAAAGCUGCCGA